UACGUAGGGGCCUAGCGUUGUCCGGAUUUAUUGGGCGUAAAGAGCUCGUAGGCGGUUUGGUGAGUCGGGUGUGAAAUCUCCACGCUCAACGUGGAGGGGCCACCCGAUACUGCCAUGACUAGAGUCCGGUAGGGGAGUGUGGAAUUCCCGGUGUAGCGGUGAAAUGCGUAGAUAUCGAGAGGAACACCUGCGGCGAAGGCGGGUUGCUGGGCCGACACUGACGCUGAUGCGCGAAAGCCAGGGGAGCGAACGGG
rnacentral:rRNA from 1 species